GCAUUUCUGUAAUGAGCGGCAGGACGUCAUGACGUCACGCCGAACAUUACAACAUGCGCAACAUGUCACCGUGCGCUUGGGCAGGAAGCCCGCCGCCGCCAGCUGCCAGCCCGCGCCUACUACUGCCUGCUUCCCACGGCCACAGUUGACUGACCGCGUCCGCCGCCGGAGACAUCUUCAGCGGGUUCUUCCCGCGCACAGGCCGCACUGCUGGCUGCCCGGCUGACUGAGAAGGAUGACGGCUCGCUGAGAAAGUCGCCUGUGCAGCCAAAAGUGAGGAUUAAUGAUCACAUGGUGGCGUCCGUGCUGGUCACGUUUUUCUGCUGCUUUUUCACCGGAAUCAUAGCCGUGCUUUAUUCUUAUGCGACCCGGACCGCUCUGAGGAGGGGCGACGUGCUGCAGGCACAGGAGUUUUCCCGAAAAGCGUGCUCCCUUGUGCACAUUAGUCUGGUCAUCGGAGUCUUAUCCUUUUCCAGUUUAUAUAUAUAUAUAGACAUGGGGGUGACCUUCCUCAUAUGAUGGAGGAGGUGCUCAUCUGAAGAAACCAAUCGGCACAUGUGGUUGUACAGAAUACAUUGAAUAAAAUAUACUUUAAAUAAAAAA